rnacentral:rRNA from 1 species
AGUGAACGCUGGCGGUAGGCCUAACACAUGCAAGUCGAACGGCAGCACAGUAAGAGCUUGCUCUUACGGGUGGCGAGUGGCGGACGGGUGAGGAAUACAUCGGAAUCUACUUUUUCGUGGGGGAUAACGUAGGGAAACUUACGCUAAUACCGCAUACGACCUACGGGUGAAAGCAGGGGAUCUUCGGACCUUGCGCGAUUGAAUGAGCCGAUGUCGGAUUAGCUAGUUGGCGGGGUAAAGGCCCACCAAGGCGACGAUCCGUAGCUGGUCUGAGAGGAUGAUCAGCCACAGUGGAACUGAGACACGGUCCAGACUCCUAGGGGAGGCAGCAGUGGGGAAUAUUGGACAAUGGGCGCAAGCCUGAUCCAGCCAUACCGCGUGGGUAAAGAAGGCCUUCGGGUUGUAAAGCCCUUUUGUUGGGAAAGAAAAGCAGCAGGCUAAUACCCCGCUGUUCUGACGGUACCCAAAGAAUAAGCACCGGCGAACUUCGU